AAUGAUACCCUGGUAGUCCACCCCGUAAACGUUGGGAAUUAGUUGUGGGGUCCUUUCCACGGAUUCCGUGACGCAGCUAACGCAUUAAGUUCCCCGCCUGGGGAGUACGGCCGCAAGGCUAAAACUCAAAGGAAUUGACGGGGACCCGCACAAGCGGCGGAGCAUGCGGAUUAAUUCGAUGCAACGCGAAGAACCUUACCAAGGCUUGACAGUACACCGGGAAACGGCCAGAGAUGGUCGCCCCGCAAGGUCGGUGUACAGGCGGUGCAUGGUUGUCGUCAGCUCGUGUCGUGAGAUGUUGGGUUAAGUCCCGCAACGAGCGCAACCCUCGUUCUAUGUUGCCAGCACGUAAUGGUGGGAACUCAUGGGAUACUGCCGGGGUCAACUCGGAGGAAGGUGGGGAUGACGUCAAAUCAUCAUGCCCCUUAUGUCUUGGGCUUCACGCAUGCUACAAUGGCCGGUACAAAGGGCUGCAAUACCGUGAGGUGGAGCGAAUCCCAAAAAGCCGGUCCAGUUCGGAUUGAGGUCUGCAACUCGACCUCA
rnacentral:rRNA from 1 species